AGCUCAGGGUUGUACAUGUGAGGGGUAGAGUACGCACAGUGGGGAAAGGAGGCACUUCAUUGUUUUUUUCCAAGCCAACCGCUAGGCAGU